GACGAACGCUGGCGGCGUGCUUAACACAUGCAAGUCGAACGGUGAAGGGACCGGUUUUUGCUGGUUCUGGAUGAGUGGCGAACGGGUGAGUAACACGUGAGUAACCUGCCCCCUUCUUCUGGAUAACCGCAUGAAAGUGUGGCUAAUACGGGAUAUUCUGCGCCUGCUGCAUGGUGGGUGUGGGAAAGAUAUUGUUUCGGUGGGGGAUGGGCUCGCGGCCUAUCAGCUUGUUGGUGGGGUGAUGGCCUUCCAAGGCGGGGACGGGUAGCCGGCCUGAGAGGGUGGACGGUCACACUGGGACUGAGGCACGGCCGGGACUGCUACGGGAGGCAGCAGUGGGGAAUAUUGCACAAUGGGCGAUAGCCUGAUGCAGCGACGCCGCGUGAGGGAUGGAGGCCUUCGGGUUGUAAACCUCUUUCGCCAGUGAAGCAGGCCUGUCCCUUUUGUGGGUGGGUUGACGGUAGCUGGAUAAGAAGCGCCGGCUAACUACGUG
rnacentral:rRNA from 1 species